UUAUGCUAUGACAUGAUAGCAAAGUCCCAAACAGAAGAGGGGCAUCUGGUGGAUCUGGCCAAGCUAAGUGGACUGGUUGAGACAAUUCAAACUGAGGUUGAAUUCGAAUAAGUGCACUAUCAGAGUGUGGUCCGGUAAGAUGUUGGGGUUCAUUGUAAGAGAGGAAUCGAGGUUGAUCCUGCUAAAAAAAAAAAAAAAAAGAAAUGCCUGAACCGAGAAUGGAAAGAGAGGUUCGUGGUCUC
rnacentral:lncRNA from 1 species